rnacentral:rRNA from 1 species
UACGAAGGGGGCAAGCGUUGUUCGGAAUUACUGGGCGUAAAGGGCGCGUAGGCGGCCGAUCAAGUCAGGCGUGAAAUCCCCGGGCUCAACCCGGGAACUGCGUCCGAUACUGGAAGGCUUGAAUCCGGGAGAGGGAUGUGGAAUUCCAGGUGUAGCGGUGAAAUGCGUAGAUAUCUGGAGGAACACCGGUGGCGAAGGCGACAUCCUGGACCGGUAUUGACGCUGAGGCGCGAAAGCCAGGGGAGCAAACGGG